GGGUGACUAGUCUAGUGGUCAGGACGCUUCGUUGUGGCUCAAAAUUCCAUUGAACAUAACGACCGAAGAAACCCCGGUUCGAUUCCGGGGUCGCCCA